UUAACUUUCUCUCUCGAGCCCUCAACAACCAUUAUCAACUCAAGCUACUCUCAAUUGCCAGAACCUUCAACCACUUAAAAUCACCAUUCCCUUAAAAAAGCACCACGUAAACCCUAAAACUAAGCUCUCUCACCACCACCUUUCCCAUUUCAGCUCAGCCAUCACUCCUAAUAGACCACCACCAAGCCUCGCUCUCAAUCCCACUACCAUUCUCACCACCAUAGUAAAUCCCUUUACCAAACAAAUCCCGGUAACCAACCCUAAAAACCAAUAACCUUAUAUCCAAGAGGCAUCAAUAAAUGCAAUCAAAUAGAAAAAAAAGGAAAGGAUAAACCCAUUUUUUCCAACAAAGAC
rnacentral:lncRNA from 1 species